GGACGUGGGAUGGACAGAGGGACACAGGGAGGGAUGGAGGGAUGGACAGAGAGAGGGACGGACAGAGGGACACGGGAUGGACAGAGGGACACGGGUAGGGAUGGAGGAAUGGACAGAGGGACGUGGGAUGGACAGAGGGACACGGAGAGGGAUGGAGGAAUGGACAGAGAGAGGGACGGACAGAGGGACACGGGGAGGGAUGGAGGGAUGGACAGAGGGACGUGGGAUGGACAGAGGGACACAGCGAAGGAUGGAGGAAUGGACAGAGAGAGGGACGGACAGAGGGACACGGGAUGGACAGAGGGACACGGGGAGGGAUGGAGGGAUGGACAGAGGGACGUGGGAUGGACAGAGGGACACAGGGAAGGAUGGAGAGAUGGACAGAGGGACACAGGCAGGGAUGAUGAAAUGGACAGAGGGACGUGGGAUGGACAGAGGGACACGGGGAAGGAUGGAGGAAUGGACAGAGAGAGGGACGGACAGAGGGACAUGGGAUGGACAGAGGGACAUGGGUAGGGAUGAUGGGAUGGACAGCGGGACGUGGGAUGGACAGAGGGACAUGGAAGGAUGGAAGCAUGGACAGAGGGACGGAUGGAGAGAGGGAUGCAGAGACGGACAGUGUGAUGUGGGAUGGACAGAGGGACAUGGGGAGGGAUGAUGGGAUGGACAGAGGGAUGUGGGAUGGACAAAGGGAUACAGGGAAGGAUGGAGGGAUGGACAGAGAGAGGGACGGACAGAGGGACAUGGGAUGGACAGAGGUACACAGAGAAGGAUGGAGGGAUGGACAGAGGGACGGAUGGACAGAGGGAUGCAGGGACGGACAGUGGGACGUGGGAUGGACAGAGGCACAGAAGGACAUGGGAUGGACACAGGGACAGAUAGAGGGACAUGGGACGGACAGGGGGACACGGGUGGACAGAGGGACAUGGGAUGGACGAGGGGAUGGACAGAAGGACAAAGGGACAUGGGACGGACAGGGGGACAUGGGUGGACAGAGGGACGGAGGGACACAGGCGGACAGAGGGAUGGACAGAGAGACAGAGGGACACGGGACAGACAGGGGGACACAGGCAGACAGGGCGGUGGACACAGGGAUGAAAGGACAUGAGACGGAUAGACAGACAGACAGAGGGACAGAGGGGCGUCGGAUGGACAGGGGGACAGAGGGACACGGGAUGGACACAGGGACAGACAGAGGGACGUGGGACAGACAGGAGGACAUGGGGUGGACACGGAUGGGCAGAGAGACAGACAGAGGGACAUGGGACAGACAAGGGGACACGGGCGGACAGAGGGAUGGGGGAUGGACAGACGGACAUGGGAUGGACAAGGGGAUGGACAGAAGGACAGAGGGACAUGGGGUGGACACAGGGACGGACAGAAGGACAUGGGAUGGACAGGGGGACAUGGGUGGACACAGGGGCGGACAGAGGGGCAGAGGCAUGUGGGAUGGACAGAGGGACAGAGGGACACGGGCGGACAGAAGGACACAGGAUGGACAAGGGGAUGGACAGAGGGACGGACAGAAGGACAAUCGAUGGAUAGGGGGGACACGGGCGGACACAGGGGUGGGCAGAGGGACACAGGGACGUGGGAUGGACAGGGGGCCAGAGGGACAUAGGAUAGACACAGGGACGGACAGGGGGACACGGAUGGACAGGGGGACAUGGACGGACAGGGGGACACGGACGGACAGGGGGACACGGACGGACAGACGGACAGGCGGCCGCGCACCGUCACCCAGCUGAUCUGCGCCCCCAGGUCCCGGAAGUAGAAGGUGGCCGUGGUGCCCACGGGGAGAGACUGCAGCACGUCCUCGUCCUUCAGAGAGCGGCCCUCUGCGGGGACAGACGGACAUGGGGACACGGGGACAGGGGGAC
rnacentral:lncRNA from 1 species